AACAACCAGAGGGGGCAGAAAUAUUACAGGAGGUGUGAACAGGAAGAUAUAUGAGGUCAGGAGGAGGUAGCUGCAAAGUUCAGAGCUUUUGCAAUUGGAGGCAAAAGCCAAUUGCCAACAUGUGCCACACCUCAGUGGAUACCAGCUCAGGAUGUUCAGGGAACAGGUACACCAUGGAACAUCACUGCAGAACUCCAAUGACAUGAAUAUUAAGUCUUUUGUAUGAGUCCUCCCAAUUUGUUCUUCUUUUUCAAGAUAGCUAUAGCUAUUCAGAGUUUCCUGUAAUUUCACAUGAAUUUUAAGACUGGCCAGUCUACUUCUGGGAGAAGAACAAAACAAAAACACCAGCCUCAGCCAUUAGAGGUCUGCAUCUUCUCACCCUCAUGGUACACAGAGAUCUCCAUGCUGUGAAGACACCCAGGAUGAAAAACCAUGUGGAGAGAAACAGGCCAGACAUUUCAUCUUUUUCAGCCAUCCCAGUUGAGCCACCAGCUGACCACAGACACAUAAGUGAACCCAGGUGAAACCAGCAGAA